AGCAGUUAAGAAAGAGGUUUAUCCACUAUUGCUCCAGGGAGGGCUUGCCGGUGAUAGACGGUGUGUAGUCCCAGCUUGAGGAUUUGGUUUUAGUGCACAACAGAUAUGUGAAGUUAUCCUAGACAACACCUUAACCUUCCUGCUCACAAGGUAAUGGUUGCAACUGUUCGUUGUGAAGAGAUUGCCAAUGAAAAGCUCAGUCACUUCACCUCAGAUGAGGGUUGGUUAAGCUGGCUUUGUGUCAGGCUUCGGAGAAAACUUAGCUCUAUGUAGUAUCUGGAAGUAUCUGCAAGUUUUGAGUAAGCUUCUAUGUAGUAUUUGAGCUGAACUUAUAGUGUUUAGUAAAAAUGAACUGAACUUGGUCUAUGUAUUCCAUUUGGUACUUGAAGAAUUUGUUCUUUUUGAUGUGAAUUGUUGUAUGAAUUGAUUGAAUGUUAAUAUGAAUUGAUUGAGAAACUAUUGUUGAAUUUGGAGGGAUGGAAUGGAAGUGUAGGCAGGUUAUUUA